GAGGGUAUAGCUCAGUGUAGAGCACAUGCUUAGCAUGCAUGAGGUCAUGGGUUCGAGCCCAAGUACAUCCA
rnacentral:tRNA from 1 species